ensembl:lncRNA
ACUGACAAGGUGACUCCCAGUCUGCAGAAGCUUGAAGAAGAGGAAUAUCACAGCAGGAGAACAUGGUCUCAGUGAUGCAACAAAUGAAAUUGGAAUAAUGACAAAGAUGUAAAUUUCUGUCUGUGGUCGGGCAGGAAGUGCCUAAAUCUGGAGAGACACACCUUCAGUCUGACUCUGAGUCAGUGCUGAGAGACUCUGAGAACUCCUGGAAACCGAGCCCACAGAAAAAACUGAUGUCAAACCUUCUGAGAACCCAACAGCCGGCUGGUUUCCUCAGAAGACACUUUGAUUCAGGAUGGACAGAGGAUAAAUAUCAGCAUCAGCAGCAUGAAGGCUUCACAUCACAUCAUUCACAGGACAAGACCAGUGGACCAGACUGAAGUCUCCCAGCUGCUGCACACCUCCAUCUCAAGGCAACAAUGCAUUGUGGGUACCUGCGUUUCCUGUUUCUGGUGCUGUGGGCGGAGCUUGCAGCAGGUAAAGCGUUACCUACCGACAGACCAGACACUGAAAUGCAAAGCAUCAUUGAGGACCUGCUGGCGGCGCUGCAAAACUAUAGUCGUGUCCUCAGAGAGACGGACUCCCUGAGAGAUCUGCCAGUACAGCCCUGCACAGAGGCUCCUGCUCACCUGACCCAGAUAAACACAAGAUACUGUUCAUUCAAGGCAGCUUCGGGGAAUUUGGUGAAGAUGCAACACUCACGGAUUCGCCUCUGUCGGCACAACAACAGGACGCUGAGCGCCAUGGCGACGGUCAACAGGAC